AGAUUAUUAGAGGUGACAGCAGUUUAAGUGGAGUAGAACAAUUUUGGAAAUUGGAUUAUAACAUUUAAUUCGAUGAUUAACUUUUUUAAAAAAAGUGCCUAAAGUGGGAGGAUGAGUGGCUGGCGUGCCUUUCAUCAUUUUGAUUUUGAGAUCUUAACAUUUUUCUUGCCUCCUUUCAGCACCACCAAGCUGCCCUGGAAUGGAACUUCUGCUCAGUUCUUGGAUUGAGGGAUGGAGGAGGAGUUUACUUCAUUCAUUCUCAGGGACUCUUAACUGGUUACUUUUCCUUUAAGAAUAAACUUUGGGUCUUCUAAAGACUUAAAGAAACUAAAUCAGGUGAGAAGAAUUUAGGAUAUUUUACCAUCUGGAGUUUCUCUGCCUCACUGGUGAUUUAAACUCAAACCUGCCAGUUUAUGCAAGAUGAUAGAAAGUACCCUGUAACAUCUGAGUUGCAAAAAUAUCUGCCUCUGAGAGCUCAGGAGGAUCUGCUUUGUGGGAGCAAAGGUAGUGAGUCAUACCUGGAAGCUUGCGCCUCUUCAUCCAGUCAAGUCUCCUAGGCAACAGUUUAUGCAGCACUUAAAAGAUGAGGAGUUAAGAGGAGAAAAUGGAAAAAAAAAACAACAGAAGUACUUUUAAUGGAACAGAAUAAACCACUGAACAGGUACCA
rnacentral:lncRNA from 1 species